AUUGAACGCUGGCGGAAUGCUUUACACAUGCAAGUCGAGCGGCAGCGCGGCCUUCGGGCUGGCGGCGAGCGGCGAACGGGUGAGUAAUGCAUCGGAACAUGCCCAGUCGUGGGGGAUAACACUUCGAAAGAAGUGCUAAUACCGCAUACGUCCUGAGGGGGAAAGCGGGGGAUCGCAAGACCUCGCGCGAUUGGAGUGGCCGAUGUCAGAUUAGCUAGUUGGUGGGGUAAAGGCCUACCAAGGCGACGAUCUGUAGCUGGUCUGAGAGGAUGAUCAGCCACACUGGGACUGAGACACGGCCCAGACUCCUACGGGAGGCAGCAGUGGGGAAUUUUGGACAAUGGGGGCAACCCUGAUCCAGCCAUUCCGCGUGAGUGAAGAAGGCCUUCUGGUUGUAAAGCUCUUUCGGCAGGAACGAAACGGUGGGCUCUAACAUAGUCCGCUAAUGACGGUACCUGAAGAAGAAGCACCGGCUAACUACGUG
rnacentral:rRNA from 1 species